UCGGUCCAAUUCAAAAGUAUCUUCGUCAAAAGCUUGGUCGCGCCACAUACAACCUAUCGCGUUUUCGAAUUUGAAACGGUGCAAUCGGAAACCAAGAGAAAGCAUAAAUCUGGACCAAACCUCUCAAAUCGGAUCCAUCAAUGGCAACCUGCAACGAUCCUGCGUGCUCUCCAAUUUGUGAUUUGUACUUUCUCGCCGUAAAAUCCCUCGUCUCAAGCACAACUCAAAUCCAGAGACGUAAAACAGAAUUCGGCGCAGUGGAGGAUACGCUCAGAACUGAAUCAUGUCAAUGAAGUGAAGGUUGCAAGACACUUACCAGAAUUCUGCGCGGCGAUUCUUCGAAGUCGACGUCAACUUCACAGGUAAAUAAUCUUUCUAUUUCUUCCUCGAUUCUCUCCUUCUUCUCCUGUCUUGAUUCCCUUCUUCUCCUUCUGCUUGAAUUGUCCUUCUUCUUCCCUCUACUGUUGGUGCGAUUUUCUGUUUGCGUAUGCGUGCGUUUUUUGCUUCUAUUUUGAUGCCCUGAGAAUUGUCGAGCUUCUUCUUCUCUUCUCUUCCGUUUCUGUCUCUGUUGUGUUCUUGUUGUUGGAAGGUUGGAGGUGUGCGAGAGUGUAUCAGAAUCAGUUAGGGAGGUUCGUUCUGGAAGGUUUGGUUACCGGGUUUUGUUAAGGGUGAUGGCAGAUGAAGUUAUGGAAGUUGUUGAAGAGUUAUGGAGUCUGUUAUCAAGUUCUAGAGACAGUUGAAAGUUCUGUUGGAAUGAGGAGGAAUCUCUAGUUUGUUAGAAGGUUGAAUGGAGAUUGAGAGCAAAAAAACUCUCCCCCAAUGAUGACACAGCUAGGACUUGAAGUGCAUUCGGUCCAAUGGAAUGCUUGGUGAAACUUUGAUUGAUUGAAACCGAUUUUUGGAUAAUGGUUGAAUUGUGUUGUGAUUUUUGUGCAUGGGAUUGAAGUUUUGUAUUUGUGUUUAGGGAUGAUUAAAUGUAUGAAGAUAUCGAACUAAAUGAUUUAUGUAUGGAAAUGGUGUUUGUAAUA